GAUGAACGCUGGCUGCGUGCUUAACACAUGCAAGUCGAACGGAAAGGCCACAGCUUGCUGUGGUACUCGAGUGGCGAACGGGUGAGUAACACGUGGGGGAUCUGCCCUGUAAUUCGGGAUAAGCUUGGGAAACUGGGUCUAAUACCGGAUAGGAAUCACAUGUGGGUGUGUGGUUGGAAAGCUUUUGCGGUAUGGGAUGAGCUCGCGGCCUAUCAGCUUGUUGGUGGGGUAAUGGCCUACCAAGGCGUCGACGGGUAGCCGGCCUGAGAGGGUGUACGGCCUCAUUGGGACUGAGGUACGGCCCAGACUCCUCCGGGAGGCAGCAGUGGGGAUAAUUGCACGAGAGGCGCAAGCCUGAUGCAGCGACGCCGCGUGGGGGAUAACGGCCUUCGGGUUGUAAACGCCUUUCGUCGGGGACAGACCGAAAGUGACGGUACCUGGAUAAGAAGCCCCGGCUAACUACGUG
rnacentral:rRNA from 1 species